GAUGAACGCUGGCGGCGUGCCUAAUACAUGCAAGUCGAGGGAACGGACGAGAAGCUUGCUUUUCUGAUGUUAGCGGCGGCCGGGAGAGUAACACGUGGAUAACCUACCUAUAAGACUGGGAUAACUUCGGGAAACCGGAGCUAAUACAGGAUACUAUUUUGAACAGCAUUGUUCAAUAGUGCAAGACGGUCUUGCUGUCACUUCUAGAUGGAUCCGCGCUGCGUUAGCUCGUUGGUAAGGUAACGGCAUACCAAGGCAACGAGGCAUAGCCGACCGGAGAGGGGGAUCGGCUACACUAGAACUGAGCCAAGGUCCAGACUACAACGGGAGGCAGCAGAGGGGAAUCUUCCGCAAUGGGCGGAAGCGUGGCGGAGCAAAGCCGCGUGGGGGAUGAGGUGCUUCGGAUCGUAAUACUCUGCUAUUAGGGAAGAACAUAUAUGUGAGUAACUGGGCACAUCAUGACGGUACCUAAUCAGAAAGCCACGGCUAACUACGUG
rnacentral:rRNA from 1 species